rnacentral:rRNA from 1 species
UUAAGCGACUAAGCGUACACGGUGGAUGCCCUGGCAGUCAGAGGCGAUGAAGGACGUGCUAAUCUGCGAUAAGCGUCGGUAAGGUGAUAUGAACCGUUAUAACCGGCGAUUUCCGAAUGGGGAAACCCAGUGUGUUUCGACACACUAUCAUUAACUGAAUCCAUAGGUUAAUGAGGCGAACCGGGGGAACUGAAACAUCUAAGUACCCCGAGGAAAAGAAAUCAACCGAGAUUCCCCCAGUAGCGGCGAGCGAGCGGGGAGCAGCCCAGAGCCUGAAUCAGUGUGUGUGUUAGUGGAAGCGUCUGGAAAGGCGCGCGAUACAGGGUGACAGCCCCGUACACAAAAAUGCACAUACUGUGAGCUCGAUGAGUAGGGCGGGACACGUGGUAUCCUGUCUGAAUAUGGGGGGACCAUCCUCCAAGGCUAAAUACUCCUGACUGACCGAUAGUGAACCAGUACCGUGAGGGAAAGGCGAAAAGAACCCCGGCGAGGGGAGUGAAAAAGAACCUGAAACCGUGUACGUACAAGCAGUGGGAGCCUCUUUUAUGGGGUGACUGCGUACCUUUUGUAUAAUGGGUCAGCGACUUAUAUUCUGUAGCAAGGUUAACCGAAUAGGGGAGCCGAAGGGAAACCGAGUCUUAACCGGGCGUUAAGUUGCAGGGUAUAGACCCGAAACCCGGUGAUCUAGCCAUGGGCAGGUUGAAGGUUGGGUAACACUAACUGGAGGACCGAACCGACUAAUGUUGAAAAAUUAGCGGAUGACUUGUGGCUGGGGGUGAAAGGCCAAUCAAACCGGGAGAUAGCUGGUUCUCCCCGAAAGCUAUUUAGGUAGCGCCUCGUGAAUUCAUCUCCGGGGGUAGAGCACUGUUUCGGCAAGGGGGUCAUCCCGACUUACCAACCCGAUGCAAACUGCGAAUACCGGAGAAUGUUAUCACGGGAGACACACGGCGGGUGCUAACGUCCGUCGUGAAGAGGGAAACAACCCAGACCGCCAGCUAAGGUCCCAAAGUCAUGGUUAAGUGGGAAACGAUGUGGGAAGGCCCAGACAGCCAGGAUGUUGGCUUAGAGGCAGCCAUCAUUUAAAGAAAGCGUAAUAGCUCACUGGUCGAGUCGGCCUGCGCGGAAGAUGUAACGGGGCUAAACCAUGCACCGAAGCUGCGGCAGCGACACUGUGUGUUGUUGGGUAGGGGAGCGUUCUGUAAGCCUGUGAAGGUGUGCUGUGAGGUAUGCUGGAGGUAUCAGAAGUGCGAAUGCUGACAUAAGUAACGAUAAAGCGGGUGAAAAGCCCGCUCGCCGGAAGACCAAGGGUUCCUGUCCAACGUUAAUCGGGGCAGGGUGAGUCGACCCCUAAGGCGAGGCCGAAAGGCGUAGUCGAUGGGAAACAGGUUAAUAUUCCUGUACUUGGUGUUACUGCGAAGGGGGGACGGAGAAGGCUAUGUUGGCCGGGCGACGGUUGUCCCGGUUUAAGCGUGUAGGCUGGUUUUCCAGGCAAAUCCGGAAAAUCAAGGCUGAGGCGUGAUGACGAGGCACUACGGUGCUGAAGCAACAAAUGCCCUGCUUCCAGGAAAAGCCUCUAAGCAUCAGGUAACAUCAAAUCGUACCCCAAACCGACACAGGUGGUCAGGUAGAGAAUACCAAGGCGCUUGAGAGAACUCGGGUGAAGGAACUAGGCAAAAUGGUGCCGUAACUUCGGGAGAAGGCACGCUGAUAUGUAGGUGAAGUCCCUUGCGGAUGGAGCUGAAAUCAGUCGAAGAUACCAGCUGGCUGCAACUGUUUAUUAAAAACACAGCACUGUGCAAACACGAAAGUGGACGUAUACGGUGUGACGCCUGCCCGGUGCCGGAAGGUUAAUUGAUGGGGUUAGCGCAAGCGAAGCUCUUGAUCGAAGCCCCGGUAAACGGCGGCCGUAACUAUAACGGUCCUAAGGUAGCGAAAUUCCUUGUCGGGUAAGUUCCGACCUGCACGAAUGGCGUAAUGAUGGCCAGGCUGUCUCCACCCGAGACUCAGUGAAAUUGAACUCGCUGUGAAGAUGCAGUGUACCCGCGGCAAGACGGAAAGACCCCGUGAACCUUUACUAUAGCUUGACACUGAACAUUGAGCCUUGAUGUGUAGGAUAGGUGGGAGGCUUUGAAGUGUGGACGCCAGUCUGCAUGGAGCCGACCUUGAAAUACCACCCUUUAAUGUUUGAUGUUCUAACGUGGACCCGUGAUCCGGGUUGCGGACAGUGUCUGGUGGGUAGUUUGACUGGGGCGGUCUCCUCCUAAAGAGUAACGGAGGAGCACGAAGGUUGGCUAAUCCUGGUCGGACAUCAGGAGGUUAGUGCAAUGGCAUAAGCCAGCUUGACUGCGAGCGUGACGGCGCGAGCAGGUGCGAAAGCAGGUCAUAGUGAUCCGGUGGUUCUGAAUGGAAGGGCCAUCGCUCAACGGAUAAAAGGUACUCCGGGGAUAACAGGCUGAUACCGCCCAAGAGUUCAUAUCGACGGCGGUGUUUGGCACCUCGAUGUCGGCUCAUCACAUCCUGGGGCUGAAGUAGGUCCCAAGGGUAUGGCUGUUCGCCAUUUAAAGUGGUACGCGAGCUGGGUUUAGAACGUCGUGAGACAGUUCGGUCCCUAUCUGCCGUGGGCGCUGGAGAACUGAGGGGGGCUGCUCCUAGUACGAGAGGACCGGAGUGGACGCAUCACUGGUGUUCGGGUUGUCAUGCCAAUGGCACUGCCCGGUAGCUAAAUGCGGAAGAGAUAAGUGCUGAAAGCAUCUAAGCACGAAACUUGCCCCGAGAUGAGUUCUCCCUGACCCUUUAAGGGUCCUGAAGGAACGUUGAAGACGACGACGUUGAUAGGCCGGGUGUGUAAGCGCAGCGAUGCGUUGAGCUAACCGGUACUAAUGAACCGUGAGGCUUAACCUU